rnacentral:rRNA from 1 species
CAUAUUAAUAAGCGGAGGAAAAGAAACUAACAAGGAUUCCCCUAGUAACGGCGAGUGAAGCGGGAUGAGCUCAAGCUUAAAAUCUCUGUGCAGGUUCUGCAUGGCGAAUUGUAGUCUAUGGAGGCGAUGUCAGUGCGGUUGUGCGGGAUAAGUUCCUUGGAAGAGGACAGCAUCGAGGGUGAUACUCCCGUAUGUGCCUGUGCAGCUGCGCGUACGACACGUUUUCUUUGAGUCGCGUUGUUUGGGAAUGCAGCGCAAAGUAGGUGGUAAAUUCCAUCUAAAGCUAAAUAUUGGUGCGAGACCGAUAGCGAACAAGUACCGUGAGGGAAAGAUGAAAAGAACUUUGAAAAGAGAGUUAAAGAGUACCUGAAACUGCUGAAAGGGAAUCGAAUCGUUUCCAGUGUCUAUAAUCCAUGACAUAUUUCAUUGGCGCGUGAAUGCGUGCAGCGUUUUGGAAGUGGGUUUCCUCUCCUGGCGUUGUUGUGCGUUUGCUUGCUGGUGCCCUGUGUUGUGGUGGGACGUCAGAGUCAGUUCGUAUGCCGCGGGAAAUGGCUGUCAGGGAGGUAGGUCGCUUCGGUGGCUGUUAUAGCCUGGCAGUUAGUAGUCGUGGUUGGGACUGAGGUGCCUACAACGCGCUUUCGAGUCUGCGGGACUCUCGUCUGGUUGCCUGCUUGGACAGCUUGCUGUGCUAGUGGUCACAUCGGGCGAUUGAGAUCUGUAGUAACUUGUUGCCGUUCGGGACUUUGACGAAAUGGAGCGAUUCGUC